GACGAACCGUGCAAACGUUGUUCGGAAUCACUGGGCUUAAAGGGCGCGUAGGCGGGCGACCAAGUCAGAGGUGAAAGCCCACGGCUCAACCGUGGAAGUGCCCCUGAUACUGGUUGUCUUGAGGGAGAUAGGGGCGUGCGGAACUUCCGGUGGAGCGGUGAAAUGCGUAGAUAUCGUGAGGAAGACCAGUGGCGAAGGCGGGUCUCUGGACAGUUCCUGACGCUGAGGCGCGAAGGCCAGGGGAGCAAACGGG
rnacentral:rRNA from 1 species